GCGGUCGUGGUGAACUCGGCGGACACGUCGGUCUUCCAAACCGAAGCAGGGGGUUCGAUGCCCUCCGACCGCU
rnacentral:tRNA from 1 species